GACAGCAGUAGCCGCGGGAAUACGGAGGGUGCAAGCGUUAAUCGGAAUUACUGGGCGUAAAGCGCACGCAGGCGGUCUGACAAGUCAGAUGUGAAAUCCCCGGGCUUAACCUGGGAACUGCAUUUGAAACUGUCAGGCUGGAGUCUUGUAGAGGGGGGUGGAAUUCCAGGUGUAGCGGUGAAAUGCGUAGAGAUCUGGAGGAAUACCGGUGGCGAAGGCGGCCCCCUGGACAAAGACUGACGCUCAGGUGCGAAAGCGUGGGGAGCAAACAGGAUUAGAUACCCGAGUAGUCCCUGUCUCUUAUAC
rnacentral:rRNA from 1 species